rnacentral:misc_RNA from 1 species
GCUCGAGUUUUAGUGGUAAAUCUGCUCUCAUGCUCUCAUUGGAUUUAAGAGAUUGGAGUUGUAGCUUUACUCCUCUAGUAACAGUUAGACCUUAGUGGCUGAGAUAAGUAAUCGACUCCCUCUCAUAUUGUAUUGGAAUGUUUAUAUUCUCACAUGGUAUAUUCGUACAUGGGUGCAUAAGUAGCUUUAAAUUAUUUUCUUGUAUGAUUAUUUUAUGAAUUAUUUGAG